UUCGCGACAUAGAAGGAGCGGUGCUGCCAUCUAUCAAAGUUUAGUCUGUGUGUGAAGAGAAUGUAAACAAAAUAUAGAACUUUUUCGCUUAAAUAAAUGCAUUAUUUCUCUGUUUUUUAAAGUGAUUUUGUGCAUGUAAAAAUAUAAAAAACCGAUAACGGCUAUUACCUAGACUUUUCAACUGGUUUAGUUGUGUUUUGAAGUUGGUUUUGUGUUAGAAAAAACGAUAAUGAAACUUCUAUUCCGGCGCUGGUAGCACGCAUAGAACAUGGAUCUGAAAAGCAGUUUUGAUGAUUACGCAAAAACGAUCUUUGACAAUGUUUCUGAUGCUGACGAGGGCAUUAACGAAAGGAAGAAUACAAACACAAGUGUCCGCCAGGAAUAUCAUUUCAUUCCAUCCCGAAAAUUUCAAGACACUAUGUUCAAAAUUGAGCCAACGAAUACUGUGCGUGUGUGUAGUUUCUAUUUCACUGCACCUUCAAUGUAUUAUAUUUUCCAUCAAUUUUAAAGUGGACUCAAGAUUCCUGCCCGUUUGCUCAUGAUUAUCGCUUGAGAAAUUGUUGAUAUGUCGAAUAUAUUAUGUAAUAAAAUAUUUUAGAACAUUUUGUUUCCUGA